UUAUGAUUGGGGUGAAGUCGUAACAAGGUAGCUGUAGGUGAACCUGCAGAAGGACA
rnacentral:misc_RNA from 1 species